rnacentral:tRNA from 1 species
AGCUUUGUAGUUUUUGAAAAAUAUUUAUUUGUGGUAUAAAAGAUAUAAUGGCUAUAAAUUUAAUUUUUUUUAAUAUUA